UACGUAGGGUGCGAGCGUUGUCCGGAAUUAUUGGGCGUAAAGAGCUCGUAGGCGGUCUGUCGCGUCGGUCGUGAAAACCUGCAGCUUAACUGUGGGCUUGCGGUCGAUACGGGCAUGACUGGAGUUCGGCAGGGGAGACUGGAAUUCCUGGUGUAGCAGUGAAAUGCGUAGAUAUCAGGAGGAACACCGAUGGCGAAGGCAGGUCUCUGGGCUGACACUGACGCUCAUGCACGAAAGCGUGGGGAGCAAACAGG
rnacentral:rRNA from 1 species